rnacentral:tRNA from 1 species
GGAAGGGUACUCGAAGCGGCCCAACGAGGACCGGGGCGACCCGGUCGGGUGCAAGCCCACGCAGGUUCGAAUCCUGCCCCUUCCG